AUUGAACGCUGGCGGCAGGCCUAACACAUGCAAGUCGAGCGGAUGAAGGGAGCUUGCUCCUGGAUUCAGCGGCGGACGGGUGAGUAAUGCCUAGGAAUCUGCCUGGUAGUGGGGGAUAACGUCCGGAAACGGGCGCUAAUACCGCAUACGUCCUGAGGGAGAAAGUUGGGGAUCAUCGGACCUCACGCUAUCAGAUGAGCCUAGGUCGGAUUAGCUAGUUGGUGGGGUAAAGGCCUACCAAGGCGACGAUCCGUAACUGGUCUGAGAGGAUGAUCAGUCACACCGGAACUGAGACACGGUCCAGACUCCUACGGGAGGCAGCAGUGGGGAAUAUUGGACAAUGGGCGAAAGCCUGAUCCAGCCAUGCCGCGUGUGUGAAGAAGGUCUUCGGAUUGUAAAGCACUUUAAGUUGGGAGGAAGGGCAGUAAGUUAAUACCUUGCUGUUUUGACGUUACCAACAGAAUAAGCACCGGCUAACUUCGUG
rnacentral:rRNA from 1 species